rnacentral:lncRNA from 1 species
UAGAAUCAACCGUAUAAAGAUUAUCAUAACCGAAAUGACAUUGAAAUUUUUCUAAAAAAGAUAAACCAUGCUUAGUUUCCGAUAGAAAAAGAAAAUAUGGCCUAUGUUUCUUCCACAAAUCCCUAAGAUAUCCAAUAGUUGCCUUAUUACCUAGGCCUUGGCAAUUCAACUUAAAACUAUCAUAUAUUACCCUUGGAGUUUGGUAGUUUUAUCCCACCUUGGUCGCCCUUAUCCUCUCCACGGGUCUUUGUGCUUGCACCUGCUCCAGCUGGCUUUGGGGCGACUCGUUUGCGAGGUGUGGAGAGCAUUUGCGCUAUGCGCUUCUUAGAACUAGCUCCCGG